CCUACGGGUGGCUGCAGUGAGGAAUAUUGGUCAAUGGACGAGAGUCUGAACCAGCCAAGUCGCGUGAGGGAUGACUGCCCUAUGGGUUGUAAACCUCUUUUGUCGGGGAGUAAAGUGUUCCACGUGUGCGAUUUUGAGUGUACCAUAUGAAUAAGGAUCGGCUAACUCCGUGCCAGCAGCCGCGGUAAUACGGAGGAUCCGAGCGUUAUCCGGAUUUAUUGGGGUUAAAGGGUGCGUAGGGGGACUGUUAAGUCAGGUGUGAAAGUUCGGGGGCCAACCGUAAAAUUGCAGUUGAAACUGGGAGUCUUGAGUGCAGGAGAGGUGCGCGGAAUGCGUGGUGUAGCGGUGAAAUGCAUAGAUAUCACGAAGAACUCCGAUUGCGAAGGCAGCGUACUGGACUGCAACUGACACUGAGGCUCGAAAGCGUGGGUAUCAAACAGGAUUAGAUACCCCAGUAGUC
rnacentral:rRNA from 1 species